rnacentral:rRNA from 1 species
GACGAACGCUGGCGGCGUGCUUAACACAUGCAAGUCGAACGAAGAGCGAUGGAAGCUUGCUUCUAUCAAUCUUAGUGGCGAACGGGUGAGUAACGCGUAAUCAACCUGCCCUUCAGAGGGGGACAACAGUUGGAAACGACUUCUAAUACCGCAUACUAUCUAAUCUCGGCAUCGAGGAUAGAUGAAAGGUGGCCUCUACAUGUAAGCUAUCACUGAAGGAGGGGAUUGCGUCUGAUUAGCUAGUUGGCGGGGUAACGUCCCACCAAGGCGAGGAUCAGUAGCCGGGCUGAGAGGAGGAACGGCCACAUUGGGACGGAGACACGGCCCAGACUCCUACGGGAGGCAGCAGUGAGGAAUCUUUCGCAAUGGACGAAAGUCUGACGGAGAAACGCCGCGUGAGUGAUGACGGCCGUCGGGUUGUAAAGCUCGGUUAAUCGGGACGAAAGGCAUUCUUGCGAACAGUUAGAAGGAUUGACGGUACCGGAAUAGAAAGCCACGGCUAACUACGUG